rnacentral:rRNA from 1 species
AUUGAACGCUGGCGGAAUGCUUUACACAUGCAAGUCGAACGGCAGCACGGACUUCGGUCUGGUGGCGAGUGGCGAACGGGUGAGUAAUGUAUCGGAACGUGCCCAGUCGUGGGGGAUAACGUAGUGAAAAUUACGCUAAUACCGCAUACGAUCUAUGGAUGAAAGCGGGGGAUCGCAAGACCUCGCGCGAUUGGAGCGGCCGAUAUCAGAUUAGGUAGUUGGUGGGGUAAAGGCCCACCAAGCCAACGAUCUGUAGCUGGUCUGAGAGGACGACCGGCAAUACUGGAACUGCGACACGGUCCAGCCUCCUACGGGAGGCAGCAGUGGGGAAUUUUGGACAAUGGGCGAAAGCCUGAUCCAGCCAUUCCGCGUGAAGGAUGAAGGCCCUCGGGUUGUAAACUGCUUUUGUACAGAACGAAAAGGUUUCUACUAAUACUAGGAGCUCAUGACGGUACUGUAAGAAUAAGCACCGGCUAACUACGUGCCAGCCGCCGCCGUAA